GUCCCCUCUACUAUGGAGUCUGACAGGGGAGUGGACAUUCACAGAGUCCCUCUACUAUGGGUCUAACAGGGGAGUGGACAUUCACACAGUCCCCUCUACUAUGGAGUCUGACAGGGGAGUGGACAUUCACAGAGUCCCUCUACUAUGAGUCUAACAGGGGAGUGGACAUUCUCACAGUCACCUCUACUAUGGGGUCUAACAGGGGAGAGGACAUUCACACAGUCCCCUCUACUAUGGGUCUAACAGGGUAGAGGACAUUCACACAGUCCCUCUACUAUGAGUCUAACAGGGGAGUGGACAUUCACACAGUCCCCUCUAAUAUGGGUCUAACAGGGUAGAGGACAUUCACACAGUCCCUCUACUAUGAGUCUAACAGGGGAGUGGACAUUCACACAGUCCCCUCUACUAUGGGUCAAACAGGGGAGUGGACAUUCACACAGUCCCCUCUACUAUGGGUCUAACAGGGGAGUGGACAUUCUCACAGUCCCCUCUACUAUGGAGUCAAACAGGGGAGUGGACAUUCACACAGUUCCUCUUCUAUGGAGUCAAACAGGGGAGAGGACAUUCACACAGUCCCCUCUACUAUGGAUCUAACAGGGGAGUGGACAUUCACACAGUCCCUCUACUAUGGACUCAAACAGGGGAGAGGACAUUCACACAGUCCCCUCUACUAUGGGUCUAACAGGGGAGUGGACAUUCACACAGUCCCCUCUACUAUUGGGUCUAACAGGGGAGUGGACAUUCUCACAGUCCCUCUACUAUGAGUCUAACAGGGGAGUGGACAUUCUCACAGUCCCUCUACUAUGAGUCUAACAGGGGAGAGGACAUUCACACAGUCCCUCUACUAUGAGUCUAACAGGGGAGUGGACAUUCACACAGUCCCCUCUACUAUGGGUCUAACAGGGUAGUGGACAUUCACACAGUCCCCUCUACUAUGGGGUCUAACAGGGGAGAGGACAUUCACACAGUCCCUCUACUAUGGGUCUAACAGGGUAGAGGACAUUCACAAAGUCCCUCUACUAUGAGUCUAACAGGAGAGAGGACAUUCACACAGUCCCCUCUACUAUGGGUCUAACAGGGGAGUGGACAUUCACACAGUCCCCUCUACUAUGGGUCUAACAGGGGAGAGGACAUUCACACAGUCCCCUCUACUAUGGAGUCAAACAGGGGAGUGGACAUUCACACAGUCCCCUCUACUAUGGGUCUAACAGGGGAGUGGACAUUCUCACAUCCCCUCUACUAUGGGUCUAACAGGGGAGUGGACAUUCACACAGUCCCUCUACUAUGGAGUCAAACAGGGGAGAGGACAUUCACACAGUCCCCUCUACUAUGGGGUCUAACAGGGGAGUGGACAUUCUCACAGUCCCUCUACUAUGAGUCUAACAGGGGAGUGGACAUUCUCACAGUCCCUCUACUAUGAGUCUAACAGGGGAGUGGACAUUCUCACAGUCCCUCUACUAUGAGUCUAACAGGGGAGUGGACAUUCACACAGUCCCUCUACUAUGGGUCUAACAGGGGAGAGGACAUUCACACAGUCCCUCUGCUAUGUGUCUAACAGUGUAGAGGACAUUCACACAGUCCCUCUACUAUGGAUCAAACAGGGGAGUGGACAUUCACACAGUCCCCUCUACUAUGGGUCAAACAGAGGAGUGGACAUUCACACAAGCUUCCCACAAUAAGUUGGGGGAAUUUUGGCCCAUUCCUCCUGACAGAGCUGGUGUAACUGAGUCAGGUUUGUAGGCCUCCUUGCUCGCACACGCUUUUUCAGUUCUGCCCACAAUUUUUUAUGGGAUUGAGGUCAGGGCAUUGUGAUGGCCACUCCAAUACCUUGACGUUGUUGUCCUUAAGCCAUUUUGCCACAACUUUGGAAGUAUGCUUGGGGUCAUUGUCCAUUUGGAAGACUCAUUUGCAACCAAGCUUUAACUUCCUGAACAAUGUCUUGAGAUGUUGCUUCAAUAUAUCCACAUAAUUGUCCUGCCUCAUGAUGCCAUCUAUUUUGUGAAGUGCACCAGUCCCUCCUGCAGCAAAGCACCCCCACAACAUGAUGCUGCCACCCCCGUGCUUCACGGUUGGGAUGGUGUUCUUUGGCUUGCAAGCCUCCCCCUUUUUCCUCCAAACAUAACGAUGGUCUUUAUGGCCAAACAGUUCUAUUUUUGUUUCAUCAGACCAGAGGACAAUUCUCCGAAAAGUACAAUCUUUGUCCCCAUGUACAAUUACAAACCGUAGUCUGGCUUUUUUUUGGCGGUUUUAGAGCAGUGGCUUCUUCCUUGCUGAGCGGCCAUUCAGGUUAUGUCAAUAUUGGACUCGUUUUACUGUGGAUAUAGAUACUGUUGUACCUGUUUCCUCCAGCAUCUUCACAAGGUCUUUUGCUGUUGUUCUGGGAUUGAUUUGCACUUUUUCACACCAAAGUACGUUCAUCUCUAGGAGACAGAACGCGUCUCCUUCCUGAGCCGUAUGAUGGCUGCGUGGUCCCAUGGUGUUUAUACUUGCGUACUAUUGUUUGUACAGAUGAACGUGGUACCUUCAGGCAUUUUGAAAUUGCUCCCAAGGAUGAACCAGACUUGUGGAGGUCUACAAAUGUAUUUCUGAGGUCUUGGCUGAGUUCUUUUGAUUUUCCCAUGAUGUCAAGCAAAGAGGCACUGAGUUUGAAGGUAGGCCUUGAAAUACAUCCAUAGGUACACCUCCAAUUGACUCAAAUGAUGUCAAUUAGCCUAUCAGAAGCUUCUAAAGCCAUGACAUAAUUUUCUGGAAUUUUCCAAGCUGUUAAAAGGCACAGUCAACUUAGUGUAUGUAAACUUCUGACCCACUGGAAUUGUGAUACAGUGAACUAUAAGUGAAAUAAUCUGUCUGUAAACAAUUGUUGGAACAAUUACUUGUGUCAUGCACAAAGUAGAUGUCCUAACUGACUUGCCAAAACUAUAAUUUGUUAACAAGAAAUUUGUGGAGUGGUUGAAAAAUAAGUUUUAAUGACUCCAACCUAAGUGUAUGUAAACUUCUGACUUCAACUGUAUCUAUACUGAUGUGUCUCUGAGGUGUUGUACUAAAGAGGAAAACCAGUGGAUUGUGUUGAGAUGCAGUCAGUUCUACUGUAGUAGGCCUCAGAUAGACUCUUCCUCUGGGGAUAACCUAGCAGUUUUAGGAGACCUCCCCCUCCCUUUUACCCACCUUCACUUCCCUAUCCCCACCAGGAGAGCCCCGGAACAGAGCCCCGGAACAGAGCCCCGGAACAGAGCCCCGGAACAGAGCCCCGGAACAGAGCCCCGGAACAGAGCCCCGGAACAGAGCCCCGGAACAGAGCCCCGGAACAGAGCCCCGGAACAGAGCCCCGGAACAGAGCCCCGGAACAGAGCCCCGGAACAGAGCCCAGGUUCAGAGCCCAGGAACAGAGCCCAGGAACAGAGCCCAGGAACAGAGCCCAGGAACAGAGCCCAGGAACAGAGGAAAGAGGAAUAGAGGAAAGGAUAGAUGGAUAGAGGAAGGAUAGAGGAGAGGAAAGAGGGAUAGAUGAGAGGAAAGAAGGAUAGAGGAGAGGAAAGAGGGAUAGAGGAGAGGAAAGACGGAUAGGGGAGAGGAAAGAGGGAUAGAGGAGAGGAAAGAAGGAUAGAGGAGAGGAAAGAGGACCACUUGUCUGUCCCACCAACAACCCAAAAUGAUUUCACAAAAAGACUUGGAACCCCUUUUCACAAUUGUCCCUACAUUGUCCCCCUCCUCACCCCUCUCCCUCCUCCUACCCCAGCCCCCUUCCCUCUCCUCCACAGCUGCCCCUACCUCUCCUCUCCUCUGACUCUCCGUUGUGGAUGAAAGGCCCAUCAAAAGUAUCACUGGCUGCAUUUACAAGUGAAUGAGGCCUAAUAAUGGAGCAGUUAGGGGGAGAAUGGGCCGAGUCCCGGGAAGGCUCACAGAUGUUGGUGUUGCUGGAGAGGGAAGGAGGGAGGGACAGAAGGAGAGAGGGAAUAAAGGAAAGAGGGGUGCUCCAAUGCCAUUGUUACUGAGGAAAGACUGGAAGGAGAGAGAGGAGAGGAGAGUGGGUGAGCGGGCUGUUUUAUACCCGAUUUGCAUCGGAGAAGGACGGGGGGAGUGUGUUGGCCAAAGUGAGGGGCCAAGGCAACCAGACAGGCAAGGAGGGCUGUAGGGAGUGAGGGACGGAGGGACGUAGGGAGUGAGGGAAGGAGGGACGUAGUGAGUGAGUCUGCCUCGUGGUAGGUCUGGAUACUGGCUGUCUCCGGGUUUAGUCUGGAUACUGGCUGGGUAGAUCUGGAUACUGGCUGCCUCCGGGUUUAGUCUGGAUACUGGCUGGGUAGGUCUGGAUACUGGCUGCUUCCGGGUACGUCUGGAUACAGGCUGCCUCCAGGUACGUCUGGAUACUGGCUGGGUAGAUCUGGAUACUGGCUGCCUCCGGGUUUAGUCUGGAUACUGGCUGGGUAGGUCUGGAUACUGGCUGCUUCCGGGUACGUCUGGAUACUGGCUGUCUCCGGGUUUAGUCUGGAUACUGGCUGGGUAGGUCUGGAUACUGGCUGCUUCCGGGUACGUCUGGAUACUGGCUGCCUCCAGGUACGUCUGGAUACUGGCUGCCUCCGGGUAUGUCUGGAUACUGGCUGCCUCCGGGUAUGUCUGGAUACUGGCUGCCUCCGGGUACGUCUGGAUACUGGCUGCCUCCGGGUACGUCUGGAUACUGGCUGCCUCCGGGUACGUCUGGAUACUGGCUGCCUCCGGGUACGUCUGGAUACUGGCUGCCUCCGGGUAGGUCUGGAUAACUGGUUACCUACAGGUAGGUCUGGAUACCUGGCUUCCUCCAGGUAGGUCUGGAUACCUGGCUACCUCCAGGUAGGUCUGGAUACCUGGCUACCUCCAGGCAGGUCUGGAUACUGGCUACCUCCAGGUAGUUCUGGAUACUGGCUGCCUCCAGGUAGGUUUGGAUACUGGCUGCCUCCAGGUAGGUCUGGAUACUGGCUACCUCCAGGUAGGUCUGUAUAAUGGCUUUCCCAGGGUAGGUCUGGAUACUAGCUGCCUACGGGUAGGUCUGUAUAAUGGCUGUCCCAUGGUAGAUCUGGAUACUAGCUGUCUACGGGUAGGUCCGGAGACUGGCUGCCUCCGGGUAGGUCAGGAGACUGGCUGCCUCGUGGUAGGUCUGGAUACUGGCUGCCUCGUGGUAGGUCUGGAUACUGGCUGCCUCGUGGUAGGUCUGGAUACUGGCUGCCUCCGGGUAGGUCUGGAUACUGGCUGCCUCCGGGUAGGUCUGGAUACUGGCUGCCUCCGGGUAGGUUUGGAUACUGGCUGCCUCCAGGUAUGUCUGGAUACUGGCUGCCUCCGGGUACGUCUGGAUACUGGCUGCCUCUGGGUACGUCUGAAUACUAGCUGCCUCUGGAUACGUCUGGAUACUGGCUGGGUAGGUCUGGACACGGGCUGCCUCUGGGUAGGUCUGGAUACUGGCUGCCUUCAAGUAGGUCUGGAUACCUGGCUACCUCCAGGUAGGUCUGGAUACCUGGCUACCUCCAGGUAGGUCUGGAUACCUGGCUACCUCCAGGUAGGUCUGGAUACCUGGCUACCUCCAGGUAGGUCUGGAUACUGGCUACUUCCAGGUAGGUCUGGAUACUGGCUGCCUCCAGGUAGGUCUGGAUACUGGCUACGUCCAGGUAGGUCUGGAUACUGGCUACCUCCAGGUAGGUCUGGAUACUGGCUGCCUCCAGGUAGGUCUGGAUACUGGCUCCCUCCAGGUAGGCCUGGAUACUGGCUCCCUCCAGGUAGGUCUGGAUACUGGCUACCUCCAGGUAGGCCUGGAUACUGGCUACCUCCAGGUAGGGGUCAUAAGAGCGGUAAGACACACCCCCUUCUCCCUUUUCACUGGCAUUAGGAAGAAAGGGAGGAGAUAUAUUAAACUAAUGAAGUCCUCUACGCACGUGACAGUUUAGUUUUGUUUAGUGACAUGGAAGAUGAAGAGAAAGGAGAUCAGAGGACGGCAGAAUUACUAUAUCGCUCAUCACUCACUGGAUUUAGCGUGUUCUAAACCGUUGUCAUGACGUUGGCCUCUUUGAGUACAGGGAGGACAGUUGACCCCCUCCCCCUUGCACCAUCCCCCAACCUACCUUCCCCCACCCAGUCCCUGUGUGAAGGAGUGGUAAAAUUCCAGAGAAGAGUCUCUGGCCACAUGGCCCAUAGAGAGACACAGGAAAUUCUUCCAACUCACAGAAUUGGGGAGCCAAGCGACAUUUGUGUUCUGGAGAAGGUAUGAAAGAUUGGUGCAGAAUCCAGCUACGAACUGGUCCGCUUGGUACAAUUUUGUGAUACUCAGAAGAGACAAUAUAGCCAUAUUACCAUAAAACUGUUUAUAUAAUAGCCUCAGCCUUGAGACUUGCAUCCACAUGGUUGUAUAGAAUGUAUUAAUAAGGAUAAAGCUAUUUGUAAUACAUUGAGAUGCUAUGUACUGAUGUUAAUGUGAUAGAAUUCUAUUUCUGUACCGAGCUUAACUCAGUCAUCGGCACGCCCCCAGGGACAUAGACAGGACCAGGUGUCAUGUGACAAGCUGUUCUAUGUCACUAUAAAACCCACCCUGAUUUACAUUUCUCCAGACCCGGCCUCCACUCCAUUGCGAGUUGGCCAAUAGGUUUGACCAUCCAAGUAUUCUACUGAAAGUGAACUAUACCACGUGGUUAACUUUUAGACUAUUGAUACCGACAGAAUAAGAACAAGUCUUUGAUAUUAAUUAUUAGUCUGCAGCUAAGUAAAUUAUAUCAUUGAACGCGAAGACCAACGAAACAUCCAUUCUAUGACGACAUUAAUGAAUGUCGCUUUGAAAGAUCCAUUCUAACCGAGAGAGAGAGAGAGAGAGAACUCUCCAACCGAACGACGCUUCAACAAGGAUCCCGACGACACACUGAGCGUAAAUAUAUAUUGAUUGCAAUUGUUCCCGAAUGAGUGAGCGUUCAAUUGUCAAUUGUUAAUAUUAAUGAACUCUGUGUACCUCCUCAGCUGAACAUUUUAUGACCCAUUGUUCUACAAGACACCAGCCAUGCCUGUUUAGACCACUAGGGCACAUUACUCUACCAAUUCUUUGUGAUGAUAAUUACUGUUUGUAUACUUAAUGUGAAUUACUUAGUUUAGUAAAUAAAUGAUUUUAAGACAA
rnacentral:lncRNA from 1 species